rnacentral:snRNA from 1 species
GGAUGUGAGGGUAGUCUGGCUGCAACAUCUGUUACCCCAUUGAUCACCAGGGUUGAUUCGGUUGAUCUGGCUGGCUAUGAGGGUGUCCCCUUCCUCCCUCACCACUCCAUGUGCAUCCUUCUGGAAGCAAGAGGACGACCUUCCCCGAUAGAGGAGGAUCAUUCCUCGGUCAAGGAUACAUGAGUAGCUGUGCUUCCCUGCUAGAACCUCCAAACAGGCUCUUAAGAAAUAAUAAAUUAUUUAGUUAAAAAAACAAAUUUAUUAUUUUAAAAGAAAAGUUGAUGAUUUUU